rnacentral:rRNA from 1 species
UACGUAGGGUGCAAGCGUUUGUCCGGAAUUAUUGGGCGUAAAGAGCUCGUAGGCGGUCUGUCGCGUCUGCUGUGAAAACUCAGGGCUUAACCCUGAGCUUGCAGUGGGUACGGGCAGACUAGAGUGCGGUAGGGGAGACUGGAAUUCCUGGUGUAGCGGUGAAAUGCGCAGAUAUCAGGGAGGAACACCGGUGGCGAAAGGCGCCACUCUGG